AAUGAGAUGCCUGAAAAAAAGGGUUAUUUUGAUAGAAUAAAUUAUGUGUCAAUCACUUUCAUUA
rnacentral:tRNA from 1 species